GUGCCAGCCGCCGCGGUAAUACCGGCAGCCCGAGUGAUGGCCGAUCUUAUUGGGCCUAAAGCGUCCGUAGCCGGCCGAGCAAGUCCAUCGGGAAAUCCGCCAGCCCGACUGGCGGGCGUCCGGUGGAAACUGCACGGCUCGGGACCGGAAGACCCGAAGGGUACGUCUUGGGUAGGAGUGAAAUCCCGUAAUCCUGGACGGACCACCGAUGGCGAAAGCACUUCGGGAAGACGGAUCCGACGGUGAGGGACGAGAGCCAGGGUCUCGAACCGGAUUAGUAACCCCGGUAGUCC
rnacentral:rRNA from 1 species